rnacentral:rRNA from 1 species
AGUGAACGCUGGCGGUAGGCCUAACACAUGCAAGUCGAACGGCAGCACAGUAAGAGCUUGCUCUUACGGGUGGCGAGUGGCGGACGGGUGAGGAAUGCAUCGGAAUCUACUUUUUCGUGGGGGAUAACGUAGGGAAACUUACGUUAAUACCGCAUACGACCUACGGGUGAAAGCAGGGGAUCUUCGGACCUUGCGCGAUUGAAUGAGCCGAUGUCGGAUUAGCUAGUUGGCGGGGUAAAGGCCCACCAAGGCGACGAUCCGUAGCUGGUCUGAGAGGAUGAUCAGCCACACUGGAACUGAGACACGGUCCAGACUCCUACGGGAGGCAGCAGUGGGGAAUAUUGGACAAUGGGCGCAAGCCUGAUCCAGCCAUACCGCGUGGGUGAAGAAGGCCUUCGGGUUGUAAAGCCCUUUUGUUGGGAAAGAAAAGCAGCAGGUUAAUACCCCGCUGUUCUGACGGUACCCAAAGAAUAAGCACCGGCUAACUUCGUG